rnacentral:rRNA from 1 species
UACGAAGGGUGCAAGCGUUACUCGGAAUUACUGGGCGUAAAGCGUGCGUAGGUGGUUUGUUAAGUCUGAUGUGAAAGCCCUGGGCUCAACCUGGGAAUUGCAUUGGAUACUGGCAGGCUAGAGUGCGGUAGAGGGUAGUGGAAUUCCCGGUGUAGCAGUGAAAUGCGUAGAGAUCGGGAGGAACAUCCGUGGCGAAGGCGACUACCUGGGCCUGCACUGACGCUCAUGCACGAAAGCGUGGGGAGCAAACAGG